UUGCCUCAUUUUCCUCUCACAGUGUCCCCAUGCGGGAGGCAGGGCUGAUGUGUUUCUUAUGAGUUGCAGCUCAGGAAGUUUGGAGACAUCCAGGGAACUGCCUGAGGAGCUGCACACUCAUUCAGGGCAGAGAAGGCUGGAACCGGGACACGAGCUCUAAGAGAGGCCAGCUCUGAGCAUGAAGUGUUUUCCAUCACACCGGGGGCUCUUCCUCCUUCUCAGCUUCUGAUAGGUCCUGGGACGAAGGCGCUAAGCAGAUGAUGACAACGAGGAAAGCUCCCACUCCGGACUGCCUCCUCUCUGCCUUUCUCGAGCCAUCUCAUGUAACCUUCACAACAGCUCAACGUGGGCAGUGUUACUCCCUCAUGAUACCAAUGAAGAAAUCAAAGUGAGUCGAAAUAACUCACUCAAGGUCAAAAAGCUAGAGAGUGACAGAGAAUGAAGCCAGGUUUCCAGUCCCAAGCACUCAAACAAACAUCUCUGAAUUCAUCAGAAUGGCUAACGCCAACUCAAACUAUUUCUGAAAAGAGUUGCUGGGGACAAAGUGGAGCCGUGGGUAGGCUUCCUCGAGCUGGGUCUCUGAAGCAGGUGAGAUGCAAGAUAAAGCAAUCGCUUUGCAGCCACCUUUGACGUAAGUGCUGGAGAUUUCUUCAAUUAGCUUAAUCCUUUCCUCCUGACACGCGCUUUAUAGAAAAGCAAAUGGCAUCAUUAUCCUCCCCCGGCCUCUCUAAUCCCUGUCUGCGCGCCGCCGACAGAUGCCUUUCUGCCUGCCUGCGCUGCCUGCAUCUCGGAGCCCUGUGUCACGAUGAGGCGGGCUGUGAGUGACAGAUUGCUAAAUCUGGCCUCCUCCAGGCAGGGGACUCAGCGCUCAAGUGGCACCGGCUGCUCCAGCCUUCCCUGGGGCUGAGGCAGGCCCAGAAAGUUCUGGAGGGCUACGUUGUGACUUAGGAAAUCCCUUGCAGAGAAGGCCAGCUCUCCGCUGCUGGCAGAACCCAUCAUCGAGAGCUGGUCUUGUUUAGGAUUUAAAUCUGGGGCCCCGCCCAGGAGAAGCAUAGGGAAGUGUCUUGCUCCAGAUGCCAUGGCAAGUAUCAGCCAUCUUUUGAUAACCAAGGAGUAUGGCCUGGCCCUGUCCUCCUUCUAAACACAACUGGGACCUGUCUGUGUAUGCCCAUUUGUUCAUCUAUUUGCUUUCACCCCUCACACAUUUCCAUUUCUGUUUUUUUUUUUUUUUCUUCCGAGGCCACUGCUUUGGAUGUGAAAACUGCUCUUAGUUAAACUUCAGCCCUGUCUCCAAUCACCUGUGUAACUUUUGAGCCUGUUUCUGAGCCUCUGUUUCCUUAUCAGUCAAUUGGAGUCAAUUGCUUUCUUUUUUUCUUUUGAGAGAUGUUUAGUGAGGAGUCAGGAAAAUAAUGAAAGCACUGCACCUCGUGUACAGGGGGUACUAAAUAAAUGUGAUUUAUUAAUGAAACAAUAACACAUUUACAUUACCGUCACUACUGCUAGUGUAUAUUUCUCUAGUGAUUUAGUUCGUUAAAAAAUGUCAAGGGAAUUUCAUAUAACAUCUCUGCAACUGCUAGAAAGUAGGUAUUAUAUCCCUCAAUUUUUUUUCAGAUGAAAUGUGAUAUACUUGAGAUCACUGAGGACAGAGGUUGGCAAACCAUGGCCAGUGGACCAAAGCAGCUCAUUAUCUGCUUUUGUAAAUAAAGUUUCACUGGGACUUGACCAUGUCCUCAGUUAUACGUGGUCUGUGGCUGCUUUUCUGUCACAAAGGCAGGGUUGAGAGGUUCAGGCUUACAAAGCCUGAACAAUUUCCUCUCUGUCCUUUUACCAAAAAAUUUGGCUGCCCUUUGACAUGUUCUAAGUGGUGGAACCAGGACUGAAAUGAUAUACAUGUCUACCAAAGCUUAAACCCAGGGCUAUCCUGGGAACAUGUUCUCUAAAUGGAAAGAAAAAAGGUGGCAGCACGUGGAAAAAAACUGCAGAUGUGUUUUGUGUGUGUUUUUAAUUAACCUAAACCAUUUCUUUGCAUUCCUUAGGCAGGAUUCACCAUGUACACAGCAGUGUCCUAGACCGACAGCUUAAGGAAGUUCUGAAUUUAGACCCCAGGGCAAUCCCUUGAAUUAGAGCCCACCCAGCAAGCUCAUGGCAGAGACAGCAUGGGGUCUGGAGCUUCUGAUUCUGGAGGAACUUCUAACAAGGCUCACAAACUCUGUUUUGAAGAAAGGAGACAUUCGCCAAGAUGGGAUUCUCCCAAAAGAGUUCUUUAGAAAGAGUGCCGGAACCUUCGCUUUCCACCUUGACAGUCCCCAGAGACAAACUGAAAGGACCUCGCUUAAUGUCUCAUCCGAAGGGUAUUUGCCGUGCUGGCUUCAUCAUUCAAAACAGGAAAGGCCUUUGUCAUGGUCAAAUGCCUUUAAUGUGUUUUGAAUGCUACAUAAAUUCAAACUUGAUGGCUCAUUUAUUUGUUGGAUUGAAGUUUUAUACAAUAAACUAAGCCUUGGUAUUUACUAAUAACUUGUGCACUGCCCUUUGUUUGUUUAGAACAGCCGGAAGGCAAAGAAGUUGACCGAGUCCCUACUGGCCAAUAUGGUGUUCAGGUCCUGGCAUUUCCUGGGAGAGUUUAUGGAUUGGUGGGAGGGAUGAUAAAAAGGUUGUUUGCGGAGGCUGGGGAGACAAGAGAGGGGGAUAGGAGAAGGGGAAAGAUGCAGGUGGGUGUUUUAUUUCAGACUUCUAAAAUUCCUGACAGAGCUCCACCCCAGCCACUUCAAAGCUGAAUUCAGUGAGCUGGGAACUGGGAACUUUGAGUGACAGGCUAGGGUUGGCUAGCGACUUGUGGCAUGACCUUGAGAAAUCCGUCACCCCCUGCUGUGUCUCACCAUCUCACUCUGAAAAAAAAAGCAAGAAAACUUGUAAUAAAUUCUAUUCAUCGUUCAAGGGGAGCUUCCUUAAGGUAAGCUUUCUCCUUUCAGGAGAUCUUUGCUCUUUAUCUUGACCCUAUCCAUAAAAGCUUCUCACUUUCUCUAAUUCCAAUAGGUACUACUUGUCCCAUGUGUUAUGGGCAAGAACACAGGCUUAAAUGAGCUGAAUGAGAGUCCCAAAUCCUCUCCUUGUCUAAACCUGAACAAGUCAGGGAAUAUUUUUGAGCUUCCAUUUUCUGUAAUGAAAUGAAAAUAACAGUAUGUAUUCACUAUAUCAUGAGAACUAAACCAUAGGACACAUUAAGUCCUCAGCUCAGUGCCCAGCAUUUAGGAAAUAUUCCUAUGUGUAUAUGUGUGUAUAUGUGUGUGUGUGUUAGUCACUCAGUCACAUCUGACUUUUUGCAACCCCAUAGACUGUAGCCUGCUAGGCUCCUCUGUCGAUGGGAUUCUCCAGGUAAGAAUAUUGGAGUGGGUUGCCAUUCCCUUCUCUAGGGGAUCUUCCUGACCCAGAGAUCGAACCCAGGUCUCCCACAGGCAGAUUCUUUACCAUCUGAGCCACCAGGGAAGCCCCAUUCCUUAUAUAUACAUGAGCAAUAUUAACUAUAGCCUCUUGUUUUGGGGUCUGGAAUAGAGCAUAAGCUCCCAAAGGGAAGGAAGCAGGUGGGUACCGAUCUUUCAGAACAUCCAGCGUGUGGAGAUGAACUUAUAGUCUGUGAUAACAGACAUUUACAGAGACAGAUAAUGUGACUGUCUCACAGAGGAGUCGCUGAGAACAGAAGCAUCUUUGAGUUCAUUUGUAUGGUAAGAAUGAGUGUGGGAAUGAUAUUAGUGGGCAAAUUCUAGAAAUCUUGACAUUUCCAUGGCCGAGGAAAUAUCUUCCUGUUUACACUGGAAGACAAGAUUUGCCUUCAGUAGCUCACUUGAAGGAUACAAGUUUGAGUAAGCUCUGGGAGUUGGUGAUGGACAGGGGAGCCUGGUGUCCAUGGGAUUGCAGAGUCAGACACGACUGAACAACUGAACUGAACUGAACUUCACCCUGUUUCCAGACAACUCCAUUUCCCCCCAGGCAUCACCUGUAGAGUCCAAGGGCUUGUUAGCUGAGGCAGAUUCUGACCCUAACAAGGUACACGAGGCAAUGCUCUACUGGUCUAGAGCCUCGGCAAGCCUUCAUUGGUGUCUCUCUGACUCCUGGAUACUGGCACCUGGCUGCCUGUGUCCUGACCUAAGGCUCUCUUGCCUCCCAACACUUGCCGGCUGCUGUAGCUGACCUGGCAAGCCUUUCCCCUGCUUCUGUGCUGGAGGAGUCUUACUUUUGUUCUAGUCUGUGUUAACAAAUAAAUUGGGUCCCACUGAUCACCACUUACACAAUCAAUAAUCACGAAUGUCUGUAGGAAGAAAAGAUGCCUUUAAUAAGAAUGCAGGCAAUCUGGGGAGAUGCUGGACUCAGUGUUCCCCAAAGAACCACCUCCAAAGAUUCUGCUUGGCCAAGAAAGUUUUAAAUGGAAACAAAAAAGGAACCUCAGUUAAUCAUUGAGAUAGGAGGUCAGAGUCAUCACCAUCCCCCAGUGUGUGCAGGCGCGGAUGUGGGCUUACCAACUUCUCUAAUCUUUCUCUGGAUGUUAUCUUGUUCACAUAGUUCAGUCACACACUUUGUUGAGUUUACUCAAGGGGAAGCUGAGGAAGAGCUCUGGUCAUCUGUUAUUUAUUCUUCAUUUCUAUUUCUUUGAUCUAUGAAAAGAACCAACAAGCCAAGCAACGUACUAUGUGAUUAAAAGAUUUGAAAGGUAUGCUUGGGUGGGAGAUUAGUAGAGCCUGGGGGUGCCUGAUUUAGAAGUGAGUUACAGUAGAGCUUUGCUAAAGAGACAGGAAAGGGGCUUCCUGCUAAGGGUGGUUUCCUGUGAAGAGCUGCUUACAUUUGCAUAUCUUCCCCAAGCCACUUUAAUGAAUUCAGAUUGGUCUAAGUGAAUCAUGGCACUCCCAUUCCCUAAAUGUGGCUGAUGACAACAAAGCUUCUGAGUAGGGUUUCUUGACUCUAAAAAAAAGACAAAAUGGAUACCAAGAAGAGCUGGUCCCCUUUAUCAUUAGGAUUCUCCAGAGAACCAGAUAUAUAUAUACAGAGAAAAGGCCCUAAUACUGGAUGAGAUUGAAAGCAAAAGGAGAAGAGG